GGCGAUCGAAAAGAUUAAGCCAUGCAUGUAUAAGUUUAAUCGUUUAUCGAGAGACCGCGAACGGCUCAUUACAAUGGCCAUGAUUUACUUGAUCUUGAUUAUCUAAAUGGAUAACUGUGGAAAAGCUAGAGCUAAUACAUGCACCAAAGCUUUGUCCUCUCGGAAAAGCGCAUUUAUUAGAACAAAACCACGCGGCUUCGGCUGCUUCUUGUUGACUCAGAAUAGCUAAGCUGACCGCAUGGCCUUGUGCCGGCGGCGUGUCUUUCAAGCGUCCACUUUAUCAACUUGACGGGAGCAUAAUCGACUCCCGUGGUGGUGACGGAUAACGGAGGAUCAGGGUUCGACUCCGGAGAAGGGGCCUGAGAAAUGGCCACUACGUCUAAGGAUGGCAGCAGGCGCGCAAAUUACCCACUCUCGGCUCAAGGAGGUAGUGACGAGAAAUAACGAGACUGUUCUCUUUGAGGCCGGUCAUCGGAAUGGGUACAAUUUAAACCCUUUAACGAGUAUCAAGCAGAGGGCAAGUCUGGUGCCAGCAGCCGCGGUAAUUCCAGCUCUGCUAAUACAUAGAAUUAUUGCUGCGGUUAAAAAGCUCGUAGUUGGAUUCGUAUCGGUAUCCUGGAACCCUCCGGGUGUUUCUGGGUGUUAUCGAUUUAUCGUAAUGUUCGGUUUUGAGUCCUUAACAGGAUUCUUAACAGGCAUUGCAAGUUUACUUUGAACAAAUCAGAGUGCUUCAAACAGGCGUUUUCGCUUGAAUGAUCUUGCAUGGAAUAAUAGAAAACGAUUUCGGUUCAGUUUUAUUGGUUUUACGACUGAGAUAAUGGUUAACAGAGACAUACGGGGGCAUUUGUAUGGCCCCGUGAGAGGUGAAAUUCUUGGACCGUGGCCAGACAAACUACGGCGAAAGCAUUUGCCAAGAAUGUUUUUAUUAAUCAAGAACGAAAGUCAGAGGUUCGAAGGCGAUCAGAUACCGCCCUAGUUCUGACCGUAAACGAUGCCAACUAGCGAUCCGCCGAUGGAAAUUAUAUUGCCUUGGUGGGGAGCUUCCCGGAAACGAAAGUCUUCCGGUUCCGGGGGAAGUAUGGUUGCAAAGCUGAAACUUAAAGGAAUUGACGGAAGGGCACCACCAGGAGUGGAGCCUGCGGCUUAAUUUGACUCAACACGGGGAAACUCACCCGGCCCGGACACUGUGAGGAUUGACAGAUUGAUAGCUUUUUCAUGAUUCAGUGGAUGGUGGUGCAUGGCCGUUCUUAGUUCGUGGAGUGAUUUGUCUGGUUUAUUCACAUAACGAGCGAGACUCUAACCUACUAAAUAGUUGGUACAUACUCUUUGUGUAUACAGCUUCUUAGAGGGAUUUGCGGCGUUCAGCCGAAAGAAAUUGAGCAAUAACAGGUCUGUGAUGCCCUUAGAUGUCCGGGGCUGCACGCGCGCUACACUGGCAAAAUCAACGUGCUUGUCCUACCCCGAAAGGGGCGGGUAAACCAUUGAAAAUUUGCCGUGAUUGGGAUCGGAAAUUGCAAUUAUUUUCCGUGAACGAGGAAUUCCAAGUAAGUGCGAGUCAUCAGCUCGCGUUGAUUACGUCCCUGCCCUUUGUACACACCGCCCGUCGCUGCCCGGGACUGAGCCAUUUCGAGAAAUUUGGGGACCGUUGAUUUAAUUUUUCUAAAUUACUUUGAUGGAAAUCAAUUUAAUCGCAGUGGCUUGAACC
rnacentral:rRNA from 1 species